CUGCUCCAACGGCUUCCUGACGGAGUGGCUUGACCUGAUCGGAGCA
rnacentral:ncRNA from 1 species